GACGAACGCUGGCGGCGUGCUUAACACAUGCAAGUCGAACGGAAAGGCCCCGCUUUUGUGGGGUGCUCGAGUGGCGAACGGGUGAGUAACACGUGAGUAACCUGCCCUUGACUUUGGGAUAACUUCAGGAAACUGGGGCUAAUACCGGAUAGGAGCUCCUGCUGCAUGGUGGGGGUUGGAAAGUUUCGGCGGUUGGGGAUGGACUCGCGGCUUAUCAGCUUGUUGGUGGGGUAGUGGCUUACCAAGGCUUUGACGGGUAGCCGGCCUGAGAGGGUGACCGGCCACAUUGGGACUGAGAUACGGCCCAGACUCCUACGGGAGGCAGUAGUGGGGAAUAUUGCACAAUGGGCGGAAGCCUGAUGCAGCAACGCCGCGUGCGGGAUGACGGCCUUCGGGUUGUAAACCGCUUUCGCCUGUGACGAAGCGUGAGUGACGGUAAUGGGUAAAGAAGCACCGGCUAACUACGUG
rnacentral:rRNA from 1 species